rnacentral:rRNA from 1 species
UUCCGGUUGAUCCCGCCGGAGSCAUUGCUAUCGGGGUCCGAUUUAGCCAUGCUAGUUGUACGAGUUCACACUCGUAGCAAAUAGCUCCGUAACACGUGGCCAAACUACCCUACAGAGAACGAUAACCUCGGGAAACUGAGGCUAAUAGUUCAUACCCGUCUCGCGCUGGAAUGCUGAGACGCUCAAAUGUUCCGACGCUGUAGGACGUGGCUGCKGCCGAUUAGGUAGACGGUGGGGUAACGGCCCACCGUGCCGAUAAUCGGUACGGGUUGUGAGAGCAAGAACCCGGAGACGGAAUCUGAGACAAGAUUCCGGGCCCUACGGGGCGCAGAGGGCGCGAAACCUUUACACUGCACGCAAGUGGAUAAGGGGACCCGAGUGCGAGGGCAUACAGUCCUCGCUUUUCACUACCGUAAGUGGUAGUGGAAUAAGAGCUGGGCAAGACCGGUGCCAGCCGCCGCGGUAAUACCGGCAGCUCGAGUGAUGGCCGAUUUUAUUGGGCCUAAAGCGUCCGUAGCCGGCCACACAAGUCCAUCGGGAAAUCCGCCAGCCUAACUUGCGGGCGUCCCGUUGGAACUGUGUGGGUUUGGGCCCGAAGACCAACAGGUACGUCUUGGGUAGGGAGUUGAAUCCUGUAAUCCUGGAC